rnacentral:rRNA from 1 species
AUUGAACGCUGGCGGCAGGCCUAACACAUGCAAGUCGAACGGUAACAGGAAACAGCUUGCUGUCUCGCUGACGAGAGGCGGACGGGUGAGGAAUGUCUGGGAAACUGCCUGAUGGAGGGGGAUAACUACUGGAAACGGGAGCUAGGACCGCAUAACGUCGCAAUACCAAAGAGGGGGAGUUUCGGGGCUUUUGGCAUCGCACGCGCCCAGUCAGGAUUAGGUAGUAGGUGUGGUAACGGCUGACCUCGGCGACGAUCCCUACCUGGUCUGAGAGGAUGACCAGCCACACUGGAACUGAGACACGGUCCAGACUCCUACGGGAGGCAGCAGUGGGGAAUGUUGCACAAAGGGCGCAAGCCUGAUGCAGCCAUGCCGCGUGUAUGAAGAAGGCCUUCGGGUUGUAAAGUACUUUCAGCGGGGAUGAAGGGAGUAACUUUAAUACCUUUGCUCAUUGACGUUACCCGCAGAAGAAGCACCGGCUAACUCCGUG